CUGGAACAACCAUCUGAGUCCUUGACUCCAGAACUAGAGCAAUCCCUUGAGCCUCAAUCUCAAACACUGGAGAAACCAUCUGAGUCAUUAACUCCAGAACUAGAGCAAUCCCUUGAGCCUCAAUCUCAAACACUGGAACAACCAUCUGAGUCAUUGACUCUAGAACUAGAGCAAUCCCUUGAGCCUCAAUCUCAAACACUGGAGCAACCAUCUGAGUCAUUGACUCCAGAACUAGAGCAAUCCCUUGAGCCUCAAUCUCAAACACUGGAACAACUAUCUGAGUCAUUGACUCCAGAACUAGAGCAAUCCCUUGAGCCUCAAUCUCAAACACUGGAACAACCAUCUGAGUCAUUGACUCCAGAACUAGAGCAAUCCCUUGAGCCUCAAUCUCAAACACUGGAACAACCAUCUGAGUCAUUGACUCCAGAACUAGAGCAAUCCCUUGAGCCUCAAUCUCAAACACUGGAGCUACCAUCUGAGUCAUUGACUCCAGAACUAGAGCAAUCCCUUGAGCCUCAAUCUCAAACACUGGAACAACCAUCUGAGUCAUUGACUCCAGAACUAGAGCAAUCCCUUGAGCCUCAAUCUCAAACACUGGAACAACCAUCUGAGUCAUUGACUCCAGAACUAGAGCAAUCCCUUGAGCCUCAAUCUCAAACACUGGAGCUACCAUCUGAGUCAUUGACUCCAGAACUAGAGCAAUCCCUUGAGCCUCAAUCUCAAACACUGGAGCAACCAUCUGAGUCCUUGACUCCAGAACUAGAGCAAUCCCUUGAGCCUCAAUCUCAAACACUGGAGCAACCAUCUGAGUCAUUGACUCCAGAACUAGAGCAAUCCCUUGAGCCUCAAUCUCAAACACUGGAACAACUAUCAGAGUCAUUGACUCCAGAACUAGAGCAAUCCCUUGAGCCUCAAUCUCAAACACUGGAACAACCAUCUGAGUCAUUGACUCCAGAACUAGAGCAAUCCCUUGAGCCUCAAUCUCAAACACUGGAGCAACCAUCUGAGUCAUUGACUCCAGAACUAGAGCAAUCCCUUGAGCCUCAAUCUCAAACACUGGAGCAACCAUCUGAGUCAUUGACUCCAGAACUAGAGCAAUCCCUUGAGCCUCAAUCUCAAACACUGGAGCAACCAUCUGAGUCAUUGACUCCAGAACUAGAGCAAUCCCUUGAGCCUCAAUCUCAAACACUGGAACAACCAUCUGAGUCAUUGACUCCAGAACUAGAGCAAUCCCUUGAGCCUCAAUCUCAAACACUGGAACAACCAUCUGAGUCAUUGACUCCAGAACUAGAGCAAUCCCUUGAGCCUCAAUCUCAAACACUGGAACAACCAUCUGAGUCAUUGACUCCAGACAAUGUGAAAAAGGAAUCAAAGUGUUGCAGGCGGCUGCAAAAGGAAAAACGAUGUAAUGUCAUGAUAUUACUUUGA
rnacentral:lncRNA from 13 species